rnacentral:rRNA from 1 species
GACGAACGCUGGCGGCGUGCUUAACACAUGCAAGUCGAACGGAAAGGCCCUGCUUGCAGGGUGCUCGAGUGGCGAACGGGUGAGUAACACGUGGGUGAUCUGCCCCUUACUUUGGGAUAAGCCUUGGAAACUGGGUCUAAUACUGGAUAGGACCAUGCUGUAGGUUGUGUGGUGGAAAGAUUAGUUUCGGUAAGGGAUGAGCUCGCGGCCUAUCAGCUUGUUGGUGGGGUAAUGGCCUACCAAGGCGUCGACGGGUAGCCGGCCUGAGAGGGUGGACGGCCACAUUGGGACUGAGAUACGGACCAGACUCCUACGGGAGGCAGCAGUGGGGAAUAUUGCACAAUGGGAGCAAGCCUGAUGCAGCGACGCAGCGUGGCGGAUGACGGCCUUCGGGUUGUAAACUCCUUUCAGCCAUGACGAAGCCCUUGUGGUGACGGUAGUGGUAGAAGAAGCACCGGCUAACUACGUG